UACGUAGGGGGCAAGCGUUGUCCGGAAUCAUUGGGCGUAAAGCGCGUGUAGGCGGCCCGAUAAGUCCGCUGUGAAAGUCCAGGGCUCAACCCUGGGAUGCCGGUGGAUACUGUCGGGCUCGAGUCCGGAAGAGGCGAGUGGAAUUCCUGGUGUAGCGGUGAAAUGCGUAGAUAUCGGGAGGAACACCUGUGGCGAAGGCGGCCCCCUGGUUGGAUACUGACGCUGAGGAGCGAAAGCGUGGGUAGCAAACAGG
rnacentral:rRNA from 1 species